rnacentral:rRNA from 1 species
UACGAAGAGGGCUAGCGUUGUUCGGAAUCACUGGGAGUAAAGCGCACGCAGGCGGAUCGAUAAGUCGGGGGUGAAAGCCCGGGGCUCAACCUCGGAAUUGCCUUCGAUACUGUCGGUCUCGUGUCCGGGAGAGGUGAGUGGAAUUCCUAGUGUAGAGGUGAAAUUAGUAGAUAUUAGGAAGAACACCAGUGGCGAAGGCGGCUCACUGGCCCGGUACUGACGCUCAGGUGAGAAAUCGUGGGGAGCAAACAGG